ensembl:lncRNA
GAUCUUAAAUGUGUUUUAGGUUUUCUGCGACAAUUAGCUGUGACCCCUUAAUGUAGCUAAUGUUUAUAAAAUUUUAUAGUCAAAAUUAUUAUUUUUUUUAGUGUGUGUCAAAAAACAUGUAGUAUAUGUUUGCCUACUUAGAGUUGGAAAAUAUACUGUGACUCAGAAAUUGUAAACAGUUCUUUUUGUGCUGUAAAAAUGAAUACUACCAGUAUGUCAAAAGAAAAAUAGUGUGCGUUUGUAAUAUAAGGUAAAAUUGUAUUUAAUGUAUAUUAUGGAAUUUUACAUUUGCGCUGACUUAGGAAACUUUAAAGGUGAUGUUAAUUUACAGAUUCCUGUGGAUCUGAAUACGUAAUUUGUAAGCUUUUUUCCCCUCAAAACGAUAACACUGAAACAAGAGCCAGCACUUUAUAUUCACACUUUUAAAAUAUUCUACCUAAUUUGGGACAAUGGAACAUAGGUAGAUUUACUUUAAAGAUCUAGAAAUUUAAAAAGAAAAAACAGUGUUGUUACUCUAUCCCAAUCUGAAUGAAGGCGUGUUCUCAGCAACAAGACAGAAGAGGUUGUUUUGGUUUUGCUUUCUAGAAGUAUGCCCCUGCCUUUCUCAAAUUUUCCCUUGAAGGCUUAUCUCCUGUUUCUCCAAGUAUAUACCCUGCAGUCUGUCCGCAGCAUCAGAAUCACCUCAGGGACUGGUUGACAGUGUGGCUGCCUAAGCCCAGCAACCAGCCGUUGACUUGAGGAAUUGGGGUCCCUGGAGGUGGGACCUCGGCAUCUCUGGUUUCAUGAACAGGCACCUCACACGCUUCUGAUGCACACUGAAAUUUUAAAGUUACUCGUCUGUACCUCCUGUGUUCACCCAGGGCUUUUGCCGGCUAGAUACUAUGCAGAAAUGUUGAAUUAAUUGGAUGUUCUUAAAUGUGUUUUUCCUUCACUCCACUAACUGCUUUCUUCCCCCCAAAUCUAUCUUCUAAAGGAACUGUAUGAAAAAUUGGUUCGUAUCCUAUCCAGAUUGAUAAACUCUGUUACAUAAAAAUUGGUAGCCUCAGAUUUUUCUGUGGAACUAUAGGUUCUGGGCUCUGAUCCAUGGAGUCUUGGAGGACAAGCAGUGCUUCAGGGGCCGGUGGAGUGGAGCCCACUGGGGCUUCUGCUUUCUCCCCACGCCGGGGUGCUGCUUCAGAUCAGAUUUCGGUACAUAAAACACUUCCUUUUUUUAAAAAAAAUAGUUUCCACUAUUUUCUUUCAAAGAGUUUGGAAGCCACUAUAAUGACUCUGUCACCUGGUUAAUUUUCUACUGAUUUUUACAUAUUCAGAAACCUCUUGUUUUUUUGUAAAAAGAAUAUUUUGGAUGUCUCAGUUGCUGCCUGGAAUAUGGCCACUUGGAAUAUGGCUAUUUCACAAAUUUUGAAGGCAUUUUGUUGAAUAGUAAAGCACUGACUUAGCCUCUGUUCCUUGUACUUCUAAUUUUAGUAAAGUAUAGAAAUGGUCUGUGUAUUUAAUUUUAGUUAUGUAAGUACACACACACACACAUUUACCCCCAUGGCCCUGACUGUGCAGUCAGUGCAUGAGGCUCACAGGUCUCAAAAAGGUGCAUUCUGAGGUUCUGGAGAAAGAAUCAAAAACUGUCACCCUCGAAUACAGAAGUUCACAAAACUUAAAUGAUUGAGGUUAGUCACCUACAGAAAUGUCUGCAGAAACUAAGUCACCUAGAAGCUAUAAAUUUAAGUGUACUGCUGAUAGUAGACCUAGGACACUUCAGUCUCUGCAAAGAUGUCCUGAGCUACCUCACCGAUAAAGGGAAGUGUCAAAGCAGAAUGCGCCUUACAAGAUAAGCUAUAGGAAAUCGCCAUCACGUGGUACUUUUUGAUGACUGACUCGGAAUGCGGAAAAGAGAGCUGGAAAGUUAGAUUGCCUUCCUUGUUCCUCUAACAUUGUCCAGGCAAAGGGACAACCUGAUUGGAUGACAAGAUUGGGCUAUCUGAGCAAAUUCCUAGAGUAAGGAAGGGUGCUUUGUGUACUUGGGUGACAGUGGCUCGUAAGAACUUUUGUUCUCGUUACUCCAGUUCUGGGCUCUGCCAGCAGUCUUCUUCUCAAAUUUGAUCAGCUUGAAUGAGCCCAGCACAUAAAUUGGCACUCUGGUUUUAGUUCUGUUUUGUGCAAGUUUAGAGCAGCCAGACCCUCGGCCCUGAUCACCUGCAGGUGGACUGACUGGAUCGGCUCUGUGAACCCACAGUGUCAAGGACGCUUGUGACGGGUCCGCUCGAGCAGCCAGCUGUGUACUUUCUCCCCCCUUGGCCUCAGUACUAUGUCCCUAUCACUAAUUACCCUGUGUUAACUGCUUUUGUUGUGUUGGGUCUGUAUUGUGGUCAAUGCCUACAGACAGAGAAAUGUGAAUUAAAGCAUUUGAUACAUUGGGGAUGUUUGCUUGUUUUUUAAUAAAAUUAAAGUGCAGCACUUG